UACAGAGGUCCCAAGCGUUGUUCGGAUUCAUUGGGCGUAAAGGGCGCGUAGGCGGCGCGGCAAGUCGGGUGUGAAAUCUCGGGGCUUAACCCCGAAACUGCAUUCGAUACUGCCGUGCUUGAGGACUGGAGAGGAGACUGGAAUUUACGGUGUAGCGGUGAAAUGCGUAGAUAUCGGGAGGAACACCAGUGGCGAAGGCGGCUUCCUGGCCUGUUCUUGACGCUGAGGCGCGAAAGCUAGGGGAGCAAACGGG
rnacentral:rRNA from 1 species